rnacentral:lncRNA from 1 species
UAGGGACUUAGGAAGUUGGACUGGCUGCAUUUUGGAUAUGAGAAAGACAUGAUCAUGGUUAGUUUUCAUUGCAACGCGAGGGCAUUUGUAAUCACGUAAGAUACACACCUGUGAACAGGUUUAUGGGAGAAUUCUCCAGAAUGGUUUAACUGGGGGCUAUUAUUAGUAUUGAGUGUGGGUGGUGCUAGGGUGCAAGAUGAAAAAAAAAGAGAAAGAUAAGAUAUGAACUGAACAGCAUAUUUACCUUUCUGCUUUCUAACUAUAAAUUUAAUGCCGACUCGCCAUCUUACUCCCAUUUCCAUGUCCCCCUGCCACAAUGGACAAAACCUCUUCUUAAAGUGAGAUAAGAAAAAAAAAACCUCUCCUUUAAAAAACGUCCAUCUGGGGCUGGGGAUUUAGCUCAGUGGUAGAGCGCUUACCUAGGAAGCGCAAGGUCCUGGGUUCGGUCCCCAGCUCCGAAAAAAAAA